GAGUCCCUGCGACGUUAGACAAAGCUCGAUUUAUUGGACCAACGGUAUUGAAACGGGAGCUCGACAAUCGACCGUGAAUUGCAGGCCCGCCGCUUUCGGGCGACCGCGGGAGCGAGUGAGCGGACGUGAGGGCGCCCACCUGGGAAACCAGGUUCAAUAAAUCGAUCUAUCGGCGGAGCGGGGACUCU
rnacentral:other from 1 species